rnacentral:rRNA from 1 species
UACGUAGGGGGCGAGCGUUGUCCGGAUUUAUUGGGCGUAAAGAGCGUGUAGGCGGUUCGGUAAGUCUGUCGUGAAAUCCUGAGGCUCAACCUCGGGCGUGCGAUGGAUACUGCCGGGCUAGAGGGUGGUAGAGGCGAGUGGAAUUCCCGGUGUAGAGGUGAAAUUCGUAGAUAUCGGGAGGAACACCGGUGGCGAAGGCGGCGACCUGGGUAGAUACUGACGCUGAGGCGCGAAAGCGUGGGGAGCAAACAGG